rnacentral:lncRNA from 1 species
GGGUUUUGGGUUUUUCUUCAACACUCUUUGCAGAUCCCAUUUUCUCAUCUCCUCAUGAAAUUAGAAAUCCAUUUCACAACCCAAAAGAAGGAGUUGCAGACCUCUCCCUCCAUAUCUUCAUCUCAUCUUUCUCACUCGCACCUCUCCCUCCACCGAACCCACACCAGCAAACCACAACCCAGAACCACCUCUCCCUCCACCAACCCCACCCCUCCCCAGAAACCCAACCGGAACCCACCCCAAACCCCACCCAGAAACUGAGCCCACAAACCCCUUCUUCCCUCUCACAAUAGAUCUACCAUAACUGAGAAAGGAAAACCAGAGAAGAAAAUCCAAG